UGGUGGCGAGUGGCGAACGGGUGAGUAAUAUAUCGGAACGUGCCCAGGUCGUGGGGGAUAACGUAGCGAAAGCUACGCUAAUACCGCAUACGAUCUAUGGAUGAAAGCGGGGGAUCGCAAGACCUCGCGCGAUUGGAGCGGCCGAUAUCAGAUUAGGUAGUUGGGUGAGGUAAAGGCUCACCAAGCCGACGAUCUGUAGCUGGUCUGAGAGGACGACCAGCCACACUGGGACUGAGACACGGCCCAGACUCCUACGGGAGGCAGCAGUGAGGAAUAUUGGACAAUGGGCGCAAGCCUGAUCCAGCAAUGCCGCGUGCAGGAUGAAGGCCUUCGGGUUGUAAACUGCUUUUGUACGGAACGAAACGGUGAGCUCUAAUACAGUUUGCUAAUGACGGUACCGUAAGAAUAAGCACCGGCUAACUACGUG
rnacentral:rRNA from 1 species